AUCCGGAUGACGUGUCCCGAAUGGGACGAAACGCGUGUCGAACUGGAU
rnacentral:hammerhead_ribozyme from 1 species